rnacentral:rRNA from 1 species
AACGAACGCUGGCGGCAUGCCUAACACAUGCAAGUCGAACGACACCUUCGUGUGUAGUGGCGCACGGGUGCGUAACGCGUGGGAACCUGCACUUAGGCUCGGAAUAAUACUCCGUCAGGGGUGCUAAUACCGGAUAACGUCCUCUGACCAAGGAUUUAUCGCCUUUGUGUGGGCCCGCGUUGCAUUAGCUUGUUGCUAGGGUAAAAGCCUAUCAAGGCUACGAUCCAUAGCUGGUCUGAGAGAAUGGUCAGACACUCUGACGCUGAGACACGGCCCAGACUACUACGGGAGGCAGCAGUGGGGAAUAUAGGAAAAUGGGCGGAGGGAUGAACCAGCAAGGCUGGGUGAGUGCUGAUGGCGUGAGGGUAGUGAAGCUCUUUUACACGGGAUGAUAAUGACAGUACCGAAAGAAUAAGCACCGGCUAACUCCGUG